UACGUAGGGGGCAAGCGUUGUCCGGAAUCAUUGGGCGUAAAGCGCGCGUAGGCGGCCCGGUAAGUCCGCUGUAAAAGUCCAGGGCUCAACCCUGGAAUGCCGGUGGAUACUGUCGGGCUAGAGUCCGGAAGAGGCGAGUGGAAUUCCUGGUGUAGCGGUGGAAUGCGCAGAUAUCAGGAGGAACACCGAUGGCGAAGGCAGCUCGCUGGAACGUAACUGACGCUGAGACGCGAAAGCGUGGGGAGCAAACAGG
rnacentral:rRNA from 1 species